GGUAGGCUCAAAGUCAGGAACUUGAAUUUGGGCAACCUGAUCUCAGGGCUGUGCUGCAGGGCAGGAAAAAACAGCAGAUCCGAGCUAUGGGGAUUCCUGAGGUCGAGGUCUGCACUGCAGCCAGGAACAGGCCAGUCUUUGCAUGGGGAUUUUCACUUUAACAAUUCUGAACUCUCAAGUUGUUUAAUCAAGAGGAGCUGCAACUAUUGGCUGUUUCUGUUCCAGGAAGAGACACUCCAGUAAGUGCAGUCAUUUGCUGGAGUCCUGCCACCAUCUUUCCCUCAGCAACUGUGAGGAGCUUGCUGUAGCUGUGAAGGAACACCUUGGUGGUCGGUUCAUCCAAGACCAAAGAGAUUACAGAGCUCUGAUGGAAAAGACCACCACCACUGCUCUGCUGCAUGCCUGCAAUGCUGUUUGACCUGGCACUGUCUCUGCAGGGCUUUGUGGAUGAAAUGGGCCUCCUGAAACUCAGCACAAUCCAAGACUAUGGCUUUUGGCCGCAGUAAGCUGUGGUCCCUUUUGGAAGUUACUAACAUACAAAACCAAGAGCAUGACUAGUUUGGGCGAAGCUUGACUCAUGAGACAUACCCAUGUGAGCCUGGGUAUCAGGCCCGUGCUCAGGAAGCUGAGUGUGUGUUGCAGCCAGCUUUGGGGAAGGCUCUGAGGAGAGGACCUUCUGGGAGUCCUUCUACCAUGUGCCUCAGUUCUUAAAGUGAUCCAUCAAGCUAGCAAACUGCUAAAUAAUGACCCUCAUGAUGGCCUAGGUUCAAAUGUCAACUUCUUGGUUUCCAUGGAGUUCCACAUUGGACCAUGGUGGCACAGAGCAAGCUGCCCCAUGGCUCACCCCACUUUUCUUCCCCUCUUGUCUUCCAAAAGGGCCUCAUUGGCCUUGUGUAGAAAUGAGCCUGCAUGAUCAAGGACCACCUCUGACCCCAGAAAAAUGCCCACACAAACUCUGGAAGCAGAAAUUAGAGCAUUUCAGCAGGGAAUUCCUGGGUUAUGGGUCUGGUGGGCAUGUCUCCCCAGAGAUGGGAGUGAAGUAACCAGGGAGGAGGAACAGACUGGAGUUUUCAGGGAAGCCUGGGUGGCCGGCCAAACAAUUUAAUCUUUCUGGGACUUGGUUUCCUUUUCCAUUUAAACAAUGCAAAAUAGAAAAAUCAUAUAAGGGCUUUGUAUCUGAGUACAGAGAUAUUUUCUAAUUCUACAAGCCUGUGAUUCUACAAAUCUGAAAUUUCUAGUACCUAAGCUUUCCCUAUCUUGAUAACCACCUUGGACAAAAUAUGGUGGCAGUUCUUCUCUAUGAACAUCAAGAGUCACAAACUUAACUGCAGGAGACCGGAUGAGGCACUGAAUUACAACCCAGAGGAGACGCAGUCCCCUAAAGCUUGGACUUCUGAUGCUUGGAACAGCUCUCCCCUGGGGGUGACUUUGCCAAACAUCCUGGGAAAACCUUCCUUUCUCCAUAAGCUCCCCAGUCCUGCUGGUGUAGAACUUCCUCCUCCUUGGCUGUGGUACAAGUGCCCAGGCUGUCUGGAGAUUCUUCCAAGCCAGAACUUGCUAACUGUUGUCUGCCUCACCUUCCCGUCCCUUUAGGAGAGCCACAGGAGCAGACACAAACAAAGCUCUGCAGGAGCUUUUCACUCAAAGUAAAAGAGAUUCUCUUUUGAUUGUGGCUAUUCCAAAAUCUUGAGCCUUCCAAAGAAGAGCUGAAAGCUUAUAAAAUCUGGCAGCAAGUCAUAUUCCAGGAACAUGUCCGAGUGGUCUUCUUUCUGAAUUGACUCUCUCCAUUUUCUCCUCCCCUUCUUUGUAAAUCUCCUUUAUUAAAACCAGGGAGGUCUUUCACUAGGGUGACAUGUUCUAAGGAGAUUUGGGCCAGAUUUCCAAUUGGAAUAUUCCCCAAACCCAAGCCAAGUGCGGGCAUGCCUCCUCUUCCUUGAUUUUUUUCCUCUUACGUUUUGUGACUCAUGUCUUAAAAAGCACAGUAUCCCUGUUGCCUCAUAUGCCCCUUGCUACCACCUUUAGCUUUUUGAGGUAAUCAUUUUCUUGGACCUCCUUCUUUCUGCACAUGUUUUUGCUGUUUUUUUUUUUAUAGUUCUCAGUUCAGCAAGUAUUUAGUGAGGGCUUUUUGUGUGUCAUGAGCUGGGGAAAAUGACAGAAAGACACAGACUUUGCCACUGGAGAACUUAGGUGUACUGGAGACAGACCACUAAACCGAGCUUUUUCCUAAAGGCAGGGUUUGAGUUUGCCAGACCUGACUCUUCCCAGUCCAUGAUGCCUUUAUAAACCCUCACGACUGACCACGACUGAGUGCUUAUCCCCUCUCCUGUGUUUUCUUCCCUGUGAUGCUGUAGUUGCUCAUUUAAAUUAUAAAACUAGCCAGAAAAGAACAGCAUGAUGUAAAUACCAACAGUACAGCUCUGGGCUUUCCCAAACUCUACUCUAACCCUAGCUAGAAUCAUUUUAUGUUUUUGGUCAUUAGUAGAUUUAAAAAAAAAGUCAAAACCAGGUUAAGCUCUGAGACUACCAGAAAAUAGUUUUGUAAUCUCUACAGUUUUUGCUCAGCAUCUGUUGUGUGCAAAGUGGGGAGCUAGUGGCUGUGAAGGAUUUAAAGUUGCACAGCCCUCUGCCCUUUGGUUGCCUCAGAGAAGCACAGGACUCUCCUUGCUGAGGGAAAAAAUGUCACCACCUCAUGUUCAUUUUCUCUCACGUCCUCUUCUCAGUAACAGUUACUGAGUCUCACCAUCUCUCCCCACCCCCUACCCUGGAGCCUGGGGUACACAUCCCCACAGUAUAAUGUGCACUGAGCAGCAUUGCUCCAGAAAGCUUUGAGCUGGGAAGCCCAUCUGUAGGUCAUGGAAUGGAGACUGCCUUGGCAAGGAGGUCUAUUUGCUCUCUUCAUCCCCAAGUAUUUUGAAAUGGUUUGUCUUAAAACUAUUAUUUUCUGAUUCUUGGUGAGCUGUUAUGUGAAUAAUUAGAACCCCUGUGUGCCCCUGCCUCUUACCAUCACUGCAACAGAAACACACUUCAUCAGUGUGAAAAUGGCCUGGUGCUUUACAAAUGAGGCCUUGACAUCUUUAAACAGUUACAAAGACAAGCUGGCUCUCCCAUCAGACCAAGGAUCCACUCUCACCUGUACCUGCCUCUUUGUUUCUUGUCCUAAUUACACCGAUGACAUAGGAUCCAAAUAAGCUGGGCAAAUGGACAUGAAACCUAGAUUCAGAUAAUGCCCAGCUAGCAAUGGAUAAUGUUUACAUGCACUGCUAACUGGGUGUUUUCUUUGAACCCCGUAAAGCAGACUUGACAUGGAACAAGACUUGUGUAGUCCCUUCCACCCCAGCACUGCAGAAUCUUGAUGUGACAGCACUCCUGUGGUAAUAACUCUCACAGAAGCUCACACAAUGACAGGAAGCCUCAUAGACACAAAGAAUGUCUAAAUACCAGAUGAUGCACACCAGGGAGACUGGCGAAUUCACAUAGUUUGUGAUCAGUACAUUUACGUUUUAUUUUCUCCUUAAAAAUAAUACACAUAUAUACAUGCAGAGAAAAGCAGAUCCACUUGAAACUAGAGCAAUAUUGAAGUCCAAGCUACUAGUAGGAUGCGCCUUCUACUGGUAUAAUUUCUACUUCUGUGGUCUGGAUGAGAAAGGUGUUGUAUAUGUUUGGCUGGGUCAGUUUUGCCAUCAGAUGUUCCAGGUAAGCAGGUCAGUUUUGGUUUGCUUCUGAAAGAGUCCCCUUUGGAGUUUGUUAUGCAGCACAUGCAUGUGUUCUGCUGCCCAGGGAUUACUUAGGCUGGCUGCUGAUCAGAUGACCAUCUGGCGAGCCCUCCUGCACUUCCAGCAGCCCAGAGCUCCUUUCCAGCUGCAGUGAGGAGCACCAGGGCAUAUCAGACCUGCGGAAGGAGAUCAGAUGGACUCUUGUCAUCUCGGCUUUCUGAAGAAAUGAUGCCACAGUUUUUAGAUUUUAGAACUUUAACAGCCAUCAACCACGGAAAGAAACUCAGCCAAGGGCACGGUGAUUCUGCCAGAUUACCACGGUUAUGGGCUUUGUUGUGUUUCCUUGUCUGUGCAAAGGCUGGACCACAUGAUCCCUCAGGUCCCUCUGGCUCUAUGGCACCGACAUUGCAAAGGCUCACACCCUCUGUGUGCACAUGCUGACAUCUUAGAGGGAAGCUACACCUUUUGUGCUGUUUCCAAAGACUGUCAUGGUAUCUUUUGGUUUGCUUUCUAGCAAGAAAUUUACCAUGCUCUUCCUGCCUUAAAAGCCAAGAAGUCAUGAUAUGGGUCAUCCUCGAGAUACAGAAUUCCCUAUGUCUACUUACUACAGAGAUGGCUCCUGGGAAGCAUGAAAAUUUGACUGGGGGAUAGAUGGAGUGAUACUGGAGCUGGCGUUGGGGACAGCAGCUCUAGACCAAAGCUCAGGCACUAAGUCUGGCUCCUGGAGAAGCAGACCUUUGCCAAGGUGACCUUUGUAACUGGAGAGACACGGUCCCUGUUAGAAGGUGCCGAAUGAACUGAACCAAUACCCAGCUAUGGGGGUCAGGACAGGUCAGCAAGAAGGGGGUUGGAUGUAGGCCUACCCAGUCUAGACAAAAUGUGGUUUAUCAAUUAUCUGGUUUUACAAUCACACAUCCUCUUAAGAAGAUGACUCAUCUAGUAUUUAGGGCUAAGAGCAUACUUUGAAGUGGGGCAAGGAUCCCAAUCAAGGCUGCAGAUACUCUGAAACAAACUGAUAAGGAUAUGUUGUUAUCUGUGGAAACUCUGUGCCAGUGUGUAAGAAUAA